rnacentral:rRNA from 1 species
AUUGGACAAUGGGGGGAACCCUGAUCCAGCGACGCCGCGUGAGUGAAGAAGUAUCUCGGUAUGUAAAGCACUAUCAGCAGGGAAGAAGAACUGACGGUACCUGAGUAAGAAGCCCCGGCUAACUACGUGCCAGCAGCCGCGGUAAUACGUAGGGGGCAAGCGUUAGCCGGAAUUACUGGGUGUAAAGGGGGCGUAGACGGUGAGGUAAGUCUGGAGUGAAAUGCCGGGGCUUAACCCCGGAACUGCUUUGGAAACUGUGCAGCUAGAGUGCAGGAGAGGUAAGUGGAAUUCCUAGUGUAGCGGUGAAAUGCGUAGAUAUUAGGAGGAACACCAGUGGCGAAGGCGGCUUACUGGACUGUAACUGACGUUGAGGCUCGAAAGCGUGGGGAGCAAACAG